GUUCUGGAGGCAGUACCAGGCUUUGUGUGGUUUCUGGCAGCCAUCAGACCUGGCACAACCUUCCUGGGGCCACUCUAGGCUUUAUGUUAUUUCCAGUGGCCACCAGGCCUGCCACGGCCUUUCUGGGACUUCUCAGCCUGGCAUCGUCUGGAGACUCAGUGUCUUGUGAGCAGGAGGCCGAAGACAGCAAAGGUAAGAGAGGGGAGGGAAGGCGGGGGCAAGCUGGCAGGCGAGGAAGGGCUCAGCGCCAGGGAAGUGGUGAGCAAUGGAAGCCCCGAAUUUUCCUCACAAAAUGUUAGCGGGUAUGUCAUUUUCAUUUUUAAUUACCAUUAUUAAAUAUUUCAGUACACCUGCAUACACACUAUUACUACUAUUUUUCUUCCUCCCCACCUCUUCCUACAAAUGUGUCCUGUUUUUUGCUCUUUGGAAUAUGGCAACCCUACAUUCAAAGCACCCGACUUUCCCCAAAGGAUCCCAAAACUGUAGUUAGUUAAGGGUGCAGGAAAUUGUAGGUUGGCUGUGGGGAACUAGCUCCCAGGAUUCUUUGCCGUUUUCUUAAGUAUUUAUUAUUUUAUAUGAAAACUGCCUUCGAAAUACCUAUUUGGACCACAACAUAUAUAAGAAAAUCAAUAAAUAACAUUCUAAGCAGAGAGGAAAAAUGAUUCAGCCAUGCCAGAUUCAACCAGUGGCGCUUGCCCUCAAAUAAAGACUCCUCCAAAGGAGUCUCUUAAAAUAUAAACAGAAGAAGCUAAGGAAGACCAGAUGUGAACAAAGCUAGCACAUUGCAGGCACUAUACCUUUAAAUCACAUUAUUUCCCUCAAAGAAUUCUAGGCACUGUGGUUUGUUAAGAGUUGCUGGGAUCUGUAGAUCUGUGAGGGGUAAACUAGAAAAAAGAAAACCGGUAUAGCUAUAUUAUAAAUGGACUGCUUCUGUUUGCAUUAUUUUGAGAUACAAAUGCCUGGAUGGAAUCAAAUUAAUAAAUAUUGGCAGACAUGACAAAAAUAUGUUCUGCUCUAGUAAAAUCAAAUUCUGCAAAUGUUUUGAAAUAUUCACAUGCAGUUCCUCCCUUUUUGCUUUUGCUCAAAUCUUGUCAUGCAUACAUUGCUGUUUGGAGUAAUGUUACAUUCCCAAACUGAAAUUAGAUUCUAUAGCUAUUACAAUAUUCUACCCAGAUCUAACCGCAGAAGCAUACAAGAUGCAGGAAAGAUUAGAAAAAUGAAGUACACAGACCAAACAGAAAUGCUUUUAUUCCAAAAUUUGCUGAAGUCUAAGUGGUUAAAUAGUCUACCCAUACUGUAAUCUCCAGAAUAACUUUAUAAAUCAUUCCCAACUUGGAUACCUUGGAAAACAAUACCAAAUUUACACCUUUCCUUCAUGGAACUCAAGGUGGCUUACAUAGUUCUCCCCAUUUUAUCCCCACAAUAACCUUGUGAGGUACGUGACCGGCCCAAGGUCAUCCAGUGAGCUUCAUGGCCCCUUCCCCCAAAAUACAUUUAGGAUACAUGAUAAAUCUAUGGCAGGCAAACCUCAAAUAAACCUCAAACCUCAAACAACAUUUGCCUCAGUAUAGACCCCUGAGCAAAUUCAUUGUGAAAAUAAAGCCUUUCUACUGGAUGAGUUGGUUGUCUAUUUUGGCCAUAAUUUUCCCCUUUUGCAAGCAAUUUCCCCAAACAAUACAUUUCACCAAUGUCUCUUUCCCCUUGUGUGCCAUGUUUCUUUAUAUUGUAAGCCUGCGGGCAGGGGCUGUCUUGUUUUAAUUGCUUGUAUGUAAGCCACUCUCUGAGCCUUUUUGGCUGAAGAAUGGGGUACAAACCUCCAAAUAAAUAAAUGCUAUGCUUUGGUUCUAUAGUAGUUUUAAUAUACAACAUGUUUUCCUAUUGUUAUUGUGAUAUUUCCCCUCACAAUACGCUUCAGUUACCAUUAUUUCCAGUAGGCAGAGUGAGGUGGCUGGUUUGGGGAUUCAUGAGAGCACAACAAUUGAUACUUAAUUUAUAACCAUUGUAUUUUUACUGCCAGUGAGAGGGGAAAACGCUGGGGAAUUUUCUGCCAAAAUAACUUAUCCAAUAUUAUAUGCCUUGGCUUGGGAAGGGGGAGGGGAGCUGUGUGUUGCUCCACCUCAGGCAGCAAAAUGUCUUGGGUCGUUCCUGAUUCCCAUUUUGCAACCGAAAAAUUUGCCAAAGACUAUAGAAUAAUUCCAUGACAAACAUAGGACUUACACAGAGGCCUUCUUAAGCCAAUCCUGACUUUUUACCAACUAGUUGUUGGCACCUGUCUGUCCCAAGAGACAACGGAAGAAGCGUAAAGUCAGAGAGUAACAUCGCCUGCUUACACUGAAAGUAAUAAACUUGCGUGAAGUGCUUCAGUAUUGUUUCACAAUCCAGAUUAUUUACUAGAGAAAUUAGGCACAGAAUGAUUAUAUGGCUGCUAAUUCUCCCUAAUUGCGGGAGACAAUCGGGAAGUAGCAGGGAGGCGGGGUAUAGAAGUGAAGCUUCCUGGACACGGCUAAUUUGUUUUCACAUGAUUGCAAAAUUGGCAGCCUAGAAUGGGAGGGGAGAAGGAAAGGGCAUUGUCCAGGAGAGCUUGUUCUCUUCCCUUCAGGCUUCUUGUGCACUAGCUGAUAAAGCAUUUCCUAGAAACCUUCCCAAUACUGAGGCAGCAGAAUUGCCUUUUUCAGAGGUCAACAACCUUAAUUGACAGCCUGGUUUUUAAAUCGUCCCAACAGCACAUGCUCUGUUCAUUACUGUGGGGGGCAUUCACCAGAUAUAUGGUUUGUCACCCACUAUCCUGUUGUCCAGGGGCGCGGGUGGCGCUGUGGGUAAAACCUCAGCGCCUAGGACUUGCCGAUCGCAUGGUCGGCGGUUCGAAGUCCCGCGGCGGGGUGAGCUCCCGUCGUUCGGUCCCAGCUCCUGCCAACCUAGCAGUUCGAAAGCACCCUUAAGUGCAAGUAGAUAAAUAGGUACUGCUGUAUAGCGGGAAGGUAAACGGCGUUUCCGUGUGCUGCUCUGGUGCCGGUUCGCCGGAGCAGCUUCGUCACGCUGGCCACGUGACCUGGAAGUGUCUGCGGACACCACUGGCUCCCGGCCUCUAGAGUGAGAUGAGCGCACAACCCUAGAGUCUGUCAAGACUGGCCCGUACGGGCAGGGGUACCUUUACCUUUUUCCUGUUGUCCCACACACAGAUUUGGGGCUUGUCCACACCAGAGUUUACUAUGUGUUUGCAGCUGUUUGCAUUUUCAUUUAAUUUGUGUAGUCCGCAUGAGAAUACCCUCAAGCAACAACAAUAUCGAUGCUUUGCCCCUGUUAAUUAGUUUGAUAUAGGAUAAUCCAACAAGGUAGAAGGAACUGGCCUCCAAAUUGCUCCACUUGGAGUUGCAGACCAUUUGUUUCUGUGUUUUGGGGUGGGUGGUUCAGUUGUCAUUUCCUGCUACUCCUCUUUCCAUGUCCAGUGCUUUCAUUACUGACAGUGAUGAUAAUAUUCUUUCUCAUCCCUCCCAGCUCUUCUGCAACUUGGCCAAUCAUGUCAUCUGGAUCCCUCAAAACCAGAAAAUUGCACAAGCAAGCCACAUUAAAAAUGUCUACACCAAAGCAAUCUGAAAAGUGUAUGCUGAAAAUUUACAGUUUCAUUUUCAUUUCUUUUCCAGCUGGUGUGCUCCUGAAAGGCAGAGCAUGGUCUUAUAUAUUUAUUUAUUUAUUUAUUUAUAUAUAUUAUUAUAUAUUUUGAUUCUUCAGAUUUGCACAAAACCAGAAAAUUGCAAAAGUGUGCACUGAGUUUUCACAACUGUCUUUGUGCUUUGGGGAACUUACUGGGUGGUGAAAUAAUAACAAGGUGUGCACGCAGGCUAUCUGUGCACAUGUCCUAUCAGUAUUUAAUCAGCAUAAUGGAAUAAACAAAUAAGAAAGUGGGGGCAAACACAGAAAGUAAUACUUAUUGAUAUGCAUGGGAAAGACUGCAGUUGCUCUUAUUAUAUAAAUAUAAAUAUGUGCAUGGGGAAAGUAGAUUAACAGAUUUAUUAUUAAUAAUAUAAUAAAAUUAUUAUUACCAUGAGGAGGGAACUAAUAAAAAAUAAAUAUAAAACAUUAAAAUUUCAUACAGCAUAUGAAAAUAAAAAGACCUCCCCCAUAACUAAGUAGAACCACCUAUAUAAAAUUGCAUGUGAGCCAGUCUCAACUACCCCAGCCAAAUUUCAGGAUUUUGGUUGCUGGUGCUUCUGUCGUUCUGCAGCCCUGAACAGAGACAAAGCUGACCGCCAAUAGCCAUCUAGAAUGGCAAUACAGUAAUGCCAAAGGGCUGGAGGUACUUCAAAAAAACCAGGGUCCUCCAAUUUACAUCUCCAUCCUGCAACAUUUCAAUAGUAUAUGGAGAAUAACAUACUGAUGGGAGUCAUCAUUUAGGCAAAGUUAGUCAUUUAUUGCGCUAAGACUGGUUAGAAACAAUUAAAUAAAGGGACAUCUUAUGGAUUCUCUCCCUGUUCUUUAUAACUUUCUUUAUAAAGUGAGUUUCAGAAUCUUGAUUUUGAACUCUCACAGGAACUUCCUUUCCCCUUUCUUUGAGGAUGCGGCAAUUUGCUUCUAGAAUUCUUCUCUAAUGACCACAUGAGAACUCCCAACUGGAAUAUUAUUUGGGAAAGUCAGUGGUCAAUAUCUCUUCUCCCUACCUCAUGGGAUUGUUGCUGGAAAAUUCUAAUAUCCUCAUCAAAUUUCACUGCAGACUUUUGCUCUAAAAUUAGUAAUAGGUAAAAGGUGUUUGCCAUUUCCAGCAACCGUUUGUGGCACUGAGAGUACGGCAAUUUGUUCCAGACUUCCAUGCAUGUAUUAGAAUUUCUGAAGUCCAAUUCAAGUAGUAUAUAUUAAGUAUGCAUUAUAUUAAGUAGUUCAAAACAAUGCUCAAAUGUGGACAAGCCCAAAGUUUUGAAACCCUGAAUCUAACUGCCAGUAGCUUCAUAUAAGAAAAGCAAAGGAUUUCAGAGACUGACUUAAGAUUCUAAGAAGUUGGAGUCAUUUUUCUUUCUUUUUGCAAAGCAAACAUAAACACACCUGUGUUUUUCAAGUGUAUUUUGUAACUCUGAUGAAAUUUAAUCCUGCAUUGGGAGGAACACUCCCCUUCAUGUGGCUCAGAACUACUUGUGUUAAGAGUUUUCAGCCAUGUGACCUGGGAGUAUUUGUGGUGAUGUUAAUGCUUUCAUAUAUAUAGCAAUGAGUCCUUUCAGUGCUGGGCUUUUGUUUCUAGCUCAGUUCAUGUCAGGGCAAACUACCUAAACAGAGUGGGCAUUCAAGCCACGCACAGUCCUACUCACAGCAAAGACCAGCAAUUGGACAGGUUCACAUUAUCAUUCCAGAGCACCAUCACCACUUUUCAGAGUUUGAUGGUCACAUAAAGUAAGCCGGCAACUUACGCACAUUUAAAUUGUGCACAUUCAGCUUUAUGCACAUGGCAAAUUUUUUUAAAAGGGAGCAGGUUUCUGGGGGAAAUGACCGGCAAUCCCACCUGCCAUUGAACCCAAUAUGUUUUGACCACACACAAUUUUGGCUUUAGGAACAAUCCCUGGAAUGUAACCCCCACAUAAGUUGAGGGUUUACCGUUUAUGUAUACUGGGGCAGCCCCAGAAGGAUUAGCACUGCAAGAAUUCCUUGACUAGUGCCAUUCCAGGCUAGUGAAGCACUAGUCAAGGGAUGGGCAACCUGUGGCCAGGUAUCAAAGGCACUGCUAUGUAUCUGGACAGUGUGAGAGCAGGGUGGUGGCAAGAUCAGGGUAUGUGAAAGUGCACCAACAGGAGCACGGUAUUGGCUCUACCAGCCCUGAUUCUGCAGCUGCUCUGCCCUUGCACCAUCCUGGUAUGCAGCAGGAACACCAGUGUCAGGAUGGUAGCUUGGCACUGGCUGCUCCUGCCUGUGGUCCAAUGGAUGCUAUUGGGCUCCUGCUCCCAUAAGUCCCAGCCAGCAUGGCUGAUAGACAGGGAUGAUGAGCGUUGUGGUCCAACAACUUGAGGGUCACAGGUUCUGCACCCCUGACCCAGUCAGGACAGCAGCCCAUAUCAGAGGCUGGUUUUGAAGUGAGCUGCAACCUGGUUGCAGGAAAGAUCUUGGUAUUUCAUGUCUACUUCAUUCAAUUCCCUUUUAUCUUUUUAUCUGCAAAUCAGGUACAUUUUGCAAACGAUUUUCUCAUGAUGAAAUAGAGUUUUAUUUAUUUAUUCUCAAUCGAUCAAUAGCUGGAAUUUUACAACUGGGCUCUUACAACUCUUGAAUAGACUGUUAACAAGUUUACCCUGGUGUGCUUUUGUUUAGCUAUAGUCCAGCUAUGAAGUUAUGACAACCAGUGAAGGAUGUUCUGAGAUGUUUCCCAAGAGUGCCCACACCCAUUCCUGUAAUAGGAUUCCGUUUGUAGUUCCUGGGCACAUAUUUUAAACAAACUGGUGCUAGGAAGGCAACGGGUACAUAUAUUAGGCACAUAAAAGUGUGUUUUGGAAAGAGAGUAUAUGGAUCCACAGACAUAGCCUGCUUUUAUGUUUAAAACCGGCAGUGUGACCCUCAAGACAAAAAAAUUGCCCUCUGCCCUCUAGCCGAUCUCGUUCUUAGAUAGUUCCCUGCAUUGGAACAACCUGUACUGAACUCAGCCUAAUGAUAGCAAAGAACCAUCCCAUAAUUCAAAUAGUUCUCAUCCACAGUUUAUAAUUAUCCAAAUCAUUGUAAUCCUGUGUUUAAAAGUCACUUUUUAUUGCAAAUGUUUCAGUGGUCAGGAUCCAGACUGGUGCAAGUAGAUGUUUGCUUAUAUACAAGGGAGGGUUUUUGCAAGCUCAAGCAUCCAAGCAGCAGCUUCCUCCUCUUUAUCUCCACUCAUAAGGUCAGGCCCUUCAAGAGUGGCACCUCAUGAGACAUGAGGGGCUAUCAUCGGAAUAAUUUUUUGUCCUUUCCCAGUGCAUGGAUGGACCCAUGUCUCUGUUGCAGACCAUUCUAUAACAAAGGAAAAUGUGCCCUGUUUAUGUAAUGAAAAUUAUGGAGAUUGUGAACAUAUAUACUGUUUAUAUAAUUUUGUCUGGAGGAGAUGCCUUUCCUAUAAAUCUAAGGCAGAACAUCCUCAGAUGGUUAGAAAUAUCUGUGGCAGCAAAGGGAGGGGUUCAGACUAGGAGAUGGUAAUGUUAGUCCCAGUCACACCUCUUUGAGGAGAACAUUCCAGAAAAGGUCCUUUCCUCUGUACUUAUAGAGCAUACCUCUGCUCAGAAAGACCACCAGAGAAGGGCUCCAACCACAGAACUUGAGACAUGGGUAGUCUGAUACUAUACAGGAAAAUAUGUUCCUUCGGCUUCAGCUAUUUGUAUCCCAAGCUGUAAGGGGCUUUAAAUGUAAUAACAGCACCAAGUGUCUAAUACCAGGUCCCUUGAUAAACCUGCUAACUCGCAACAUUGGCUGCCCUGCAUCCAACUACUGUAAUAUCCUCACAAAGGCAAUAGCAAGUGAGGCCUGCCUAAAUUGCAAACAGCUUUAGCUUCCCUUGUCUGCUGUAUUUGGUGAGUUUCUUUCUGAGAAAAGUCUAUUUAUUUGGCAUGCAGAGGAUUGGCAAAUAGUGCCCCAGGAGAUGACAUCAUUAUCCCUGCUUUGAAAGAAGUGGCAGAACUUUGUCCAAACCCACCCCUAUUCCACUACACUACUGGUAGUUACAAAAGUACGUUGAAUGGAAAAGAUAAAUUAGCAGGCCAGUGAGGUAAGCAUCUUAUGUUUUGGAACUUAAUUAAACAAUACUUCGUUGAUAAAACUGGAUGCAAGCAGGUUUAAAAAAUGAAUGUAGCUGUUGACACUGCAGACUUGUAGACUGUGAAAACACUGCCAUGGUCUGUUGUAUCAACUCUUUUUCACCUGCAAGAUGGUGUCAUUAGGAAACAAAAGCUAACUCACAAGUGAAUGGAUUACAUUAGAUAAAACAAUUUUUUCUCAAUGCUUUUCUCAGUUUCCGCCUUCCAGGUGGUGAGCCUACAUAGUUCUUCACCAGCCCUUCCUGCCAUUAGAAAUCCCAUCUAUGGAUAGACUGCAUGGAGGUGCCCCUUUAGAAUUUUGCAUCUGGGGCCACGCCCCCCCCAUGCCACUGCAACAGACUAUUGGUCCUUCUGGCCUGCGAUGUCUAUUCUGACUGACUGCAACUCUCAAAGGCCUCAGGAAUGGAGAGCUUACUUACCCAGCCCUCCUAACUGAAAUCCUGUUCCAUGAGAUAUGGAGCCUGGAGUAUGCAAAGUACAUGGCUUGCUUCUAAGCUACAAUCCGUCUCUAACAUUUGAACACUCCUCCUCACGGAGGAGAAAGCUAUCAGUGGCAACUACCCAGGUGUUGACCCGAAAAGGUGAGCCGGCAUGGAAGCCCUACUUGCAGCAUAUUGAUGGUCAAGAUGCCCCCCACCUAAAUGGUAGCAGCAGUAGCACUGAACUCAUAUGUGUUUCACACACUUUGAAGUAUCCACAGGCCCCAUGCAUAGCUAGAGGGGGAGUUAAUGGUUAAUACCAGUCUCCUAUGUUCCCAGACAAUGGUUAAUACCAACCACCUGUGUUCCCAUGUGACAUAGCCUGCCUGGGCCUAUAAAGCUUGUGUCUGUCCUUACUUGGGUGUGGAGAAGUCAUCUUCUUCCUGUGGGCUGCUGUGAGCAGGAGCAAGGAGGGAGCUGUUGGACCUCUGCUGUAAGUUUAUACUCUUCUUUAAAAGGCCUCCCAGGCUAUCAUUCACUGAUAUUGUAAUAUACGCAAGAGAGUAACAAAGUCAAGUCUCGUGAAGAACAAUUGCAUUCUGAACCUGUGGGGACCCCUUGCAUUGAAAAAAAGUGAGCGUAAUUUAUCUAUGUGCAGGAUAUAAGCAUACAAUUCUGUAUUAAUAAUAAAUAUGAUGAUGCUGUUUAUGGAUUGUUUAUACUGCUAUUUACUGCAGGUUUUACUUGGAAAGUGCUCCUACGUUUAUUUUAACUGCCUAUAUCCUGCAGUAAACUUUCCCAUUGAGAGUUCUGAAUUAUUACAGGCAUCUCCUGUGGUUGUUUAAGGUACUCCUAAUCUUUUUUAUUGUGGAACACACUUUGUAGUACAUUUUCUGCCUUUGUCUGUUCUGGCCACCUGGAAAAGGCAGCCUGUUGCCUCGUUCCUGAGGUCAUUUGUUAGGCUGGAACUGAGAUUUCUCCCCUGCAUUGGCCAACCACCACUUGUUCCACAAGAAGGCUGGGGAAGUGAAUGUGAGUUGAGAGAGAACCUAACCCUGUGGUGUUUUCCAUCCAUGGGAGACUAGGAGAAAGUAAAGUGGGCCAACGCCUAGUGGCAAUUGCCUAGCGCCAAUGACGCAGCUAGGGCUGGGUGUCCAAGGCUUCAUGACUUCCAGGUGCCAUCCAAUGACAACCCAGAAAGCAAAAGGUGAUAGGAGCAGCAGAAUUAAACUCAUUUUUUCCUGGAGUCAUGGUACUGCUGUGAUUUAAGUGAGUUUUAAAUGUGAAAUUGCACAUGUUCAAAGUAGUUCUUUUAAUCAGAGAUGGUAAACUGGUUGGUUGUGUUUUUUUGCUCUAACGUAUUGAAACAGAAGCAGUUGCAAAAGCAUUUGAUGGAGGAGGGAAUGGAAAGAAAAGAGAUGGUGAUUAUGCGCUUCACAGCUGAAGCCUAUUCUUCUUUGGCAAUCACUCGUAGCUGUGUAAGAUUGUCUUACACGGUCUUAAUAGUGAGUCCAUAAGUGACUGUGGAGGCAAAUUCUGGAUCCACACGUCCUUCCACAGUGGGGACAUAGGUUUCCAGGGGGGAGUUGAUCACGGUGAGGGUUUGCCAAACAUGCCUUCCUCUUAGCUUGUUUAUCCUUUUCACCCUGAGUUUGUGCAUCUUCAAAUCCAUGACACCUUUGGUAAAGGCUGUUCUCCAUUUGGAGUGUUCACAGGCCAGUGUUUCCCAGUUAUCGGUGCUUAUACCACAUUUUUAAAUAUUUGCCUUGAGAGCAUCUUUAAACCUCUUUUGUUGUCCACCAGUAUUUCACUUUCCAUUCUUAAAUUGGGAAUUGAUUAGUUGCUUUGGAAGACGAUAAUAUGGCCAUCAAAAGCCUCCCUCCGCACCUCCAUUAAGUUCAGGGUCUAAUAGGGAAGGGCUGUAGCUCAGUAGUGCUAGAUGGACCAAUGUUCUGACUCAGUAUAAGAGAACUUCCUCUGUUCAUAAAGAUACCAAGCUGCAUCACUGCAGUUUAGAGAUGGAGAUUUAGACUAUGAUUGUCAGGCAGCAAGAACUGAAUUGUAGAAGUUUUUGUUUUGAGUUUGUCGGUGCCAGACCACCAUAAUCCUAGCAAAUGUUAAAAGCUGAUCAAGCCAGCCUGGCUUUCUGAUGAGGUGAUCACCUGGGUAAUGGGCCAUUAACAGAACAAAGGAAAGGGGACUUCUUGCCAAGAUAAUAAAUGGGGUGGAGCCUCUCUUCCAGUUCUUAGAUAGUUAGAAGGACAGAACCUGAGUUGGAGGCCAGAAUUUGCUGUAAUCUCACACUGCUCAGAGACUUGGGUGCCGCACAACAUUAUUAUAAACAAGUUAUACAGAGAACUGCAGAAAGGCAGAGGGCAGAAAUACUUGAACAUGGAGGGGUAAAUGAUGUCCAACAUUGAGUAACAUCAAUAUUUCUUUAACACUUAAUAUUGAAAAAUAUUUGUGCGUUCUUGACAACAUACUGAUUGUGAUCUAUAACAGAAUGAAAAGCACCAAUAAUGAUUUGAUCCGUAGUAACACCUCUUUACAUAAACAGAAAUGAAGGACCAAAAGUUCUGCCAGGAUUAAGCACUCCAAAAUGUGUUUCUUUAUGAACUGUUUGCUUUAAGAUGAAGGAGCACAUGCAAAUCAUAAGCAUAACCCUUAACACAACAUAAAACAUUAUCAAACUAAUCCCUUUUAAAAGAUGCUGUUCUACCCUAGAGCUAAUUUUGAAAGAUUCACUGUAACAGAGAGACCAGACACAGAGUUUAAGUCAUCAGUGAAUCAUUUAAACUAUGCUUCAGUGGGCAGUUCCACACUGUGCAUUUAAGGACAUAACUUCCUGCAAAUAGUCCUGGGAAUUGUAGUUUCUGAAGGGUGUUGAGAAGUGUACCUUUGUCAGGGAGAAACUACAGUUCCCAUGAUUCUUUAGAGGAUGUGAUAUGCAUUGAAUGUGCUUUAAUAGUAUGGUGUAGAACUAGCUAUAUAUUUCAAUCCAUUUAAUAAUACGUAGCCCAAAAAUAAUAAUAAUAAAAUACAUAUACAUACAUACAUCAGUUCAAACUGUUGUUUUAACCAUAUCUGUCAACAAAUCUCAGUAAACUAAAUGUUGCAAAGUAAAGUCUGCAGAGUUUACUUACGUUUCCAUUUUGGUUGGCUGUGUGUCCCACUUUACACAGGACAUUCCUCAGCUUGAAGGCAUUCUUCUGUUUGAAGAUGUCUUGUGUUAGAAGGGCUGUCUGGUCCAAGUCCGGUUUUAAGAUAAAAAAUGAUAAGACAGGACAUAUGGGGCUUUGAAGUUGCCCAUUAUCAGUGAGCAUCUGGAGAGCAAACUGGGCAGACAAACAGACCACCUGAACACAAUCAUUCCCACUAUGACAAUAUAUAUUUCUAUUUAAAUUAUAGUAAUAGUUAUUAAAUUUGCAGAUAUUAAGAAGCAUUUAAAUUUUAUGCAAAUUUUUCUAAAAAGCUGUAUCCUCUUUUGUCCUCUAUUCUGGUCAUGCAUUUCCUCGUUUGUGAGUGGUCACCCAAUUUCCUUUUGCAUCUCUUUUCAGAGAGACCAGGGGUAUAGGCAGUAUCCAACAAACACAUUCCAACCACGCAAACAUGUUUGCACAACAGAACUUGCCCCCCUCUCCUCUCCCCACACCCUCCCCAAAUCUCCUCCAGAGGGUUAGGCUGGGCAACCCUCAGAACAGAUUUAGAGAGUGCAUGGAGGGAGUUCAAGCUACACUUGAGCAUAAAUCUUUGCACUGAUGAAAUGAGUUACUUAGCACUAUUUUGGAUACAUCUCCAGGGGGUCUUUUUUCACUUACUUUGCCUCUUCAAAUUUACAACUUCUUCAGACAUUAAAUUAGAUCAAGUGACUCUAUUCACACAAAACAAAUUUGUAUAGAAUCAACAUAUGAUGCAGGGAUCAGGAUCACAUCCACUGGCUAUGCCCCUGACCUCUGCACAUGUAUAUAGCCCUCUGUGCAGACAUAUACACUGUACCAAGAAUGUCAUCUAAGCAGCUGUAAUGGAGAAUGGCCCAGUUCUCUCUAGUCAAGUGUAAACUUAUAUUGCCUGAAAUGGACAGAGGCUGCAAAGCAAAUCAUGUAUAUGGCCAAUAAAGGUAUUCUGGAAAAACAUUUUUAAUGUGCAAACAUUGCAUUUUAAAACUUGGUGCAAUUAUUUUUUUUAAAGUGCAAGGAAAAGCAAAUCCAUCAAUAAAGCCUGGUUCCUAUUAAAAUUCUAUUGGCUCGAGAAAUGCUCUUUCCCAUAAACAAGGUUAUUUCUUUAGCUUCUGGCAUGCAAACGAUAGGCAUCCUAUCCAAAACUCGGAAACUUGUUUCUUUAUUCCUUCAGCUUUAAAAGAUGACAGAACAAGUUGGUUUGUUUUUGUUGUUGAGAUUCAUUUUGAAGCUGAGCCCUUGUAGUGCCAAGUUUUGACCCAGAGCAAAUAUUUAUGGCGGAACGAUAAAUCCAGAAAGACAACAGCUUGACUUGAAAUCCUAGCCAGCUCUCCCUGCUGCCUCAGAAUCACUUCGCGCAUUAUGUGGCAAGUGUGUUCAGCCACCUGUAACGUUCAAAGGGGAUAUAAGUUGGUUCCUUAACUUGUAACGUGACUCUAAUUUUUGUUGAAAGAUUUGGCAAUGGAGGGGAGGGGCAAAGAAGUACUCGUGCAUCUCCAUAUUUGAAUUGCUAGCACGGACCCCUCGGCACCUGCUUGCCAUUGGAAUUUAUGGUUUCUAAGCAUGCCAUUUCUUUCAUAAAGCUGGAAAGGAGUUUGAGGGGCCAGCAGUCAACAUAUAAGCCUUCUCCUCGGGAACCAUAAUGGGAUAAAACCUCAGCAAUCCUGAAUGCGUGCUUGAUUACUUUGCAUCCAUAGACAGUAAACCUUUAUUUUUUUAAAAAGAAAGUUAUAAUAGUCACUAUCUACAGUGCCUUGAUGGGCUCCACCUCAUGCAUUAAAGCCUCAUCCUGUGACUUCGCUUCUAAAUUUGUGCAACUUACUGCCCGAGUGAAGUCCAAGCUUAUUCUCAGACUGUUGCUACCUCCUUACCUCCUCAGUGCUUGCUUUGUGCCUAUAUAGCUUAACACAGGGGACCUAAGAGAGGAUGAAUGGAUAAUUGGGAAUGCCAUUCCCUCCCAUGCAGCAGGGAGAAAACGAUGACAAGGGAGAGAUGAAGGCAGAAAUUAAUAUCUGAAUGGUGCAGCAUUGAAGUCUUGGGAGGAGGCACUAUUUGGGUUCUGCUUCCAGCAGCAAAAUAUCUUGAACCAUAAUUGACUGGGAGGAGGGAAAUGGAAGCUGCAGCAAAGCCCGCUGAGAACGGAGGAAGGAAAUUUGGAAAUGACACUCGGGCAGCUACUCUGCUACAUCUUUAUCCCUGUGUUUUCAUAUGAGCCAGUGUAGUGUAGUGGGCAGAGUGUUGGAGUAAGGAGUCCAAGCUUCAAAUCCUCAAUCAGCCACAAACCUCACUGGGUGACCUUUGGCCUAGACUACCUCACAGGGCUGAUGUGAGGAUAAAUUUAAUUACUCCAUUUUUAUUCCACCCUAAGGAGGAAUUGUGGGAUGCAGGUGGCGCUGUGGGUUAAACCACAGAGCCUAGGACUUGCCGAUCAGAAGGUCGGCGGUUUGAAUCCCUAUGAAGGGUGAGCUCCCAUUGCUCGGUCCCUGCUCCUGCCAACCUAGCAGUUCGAAAGCACGUCAAAGUGCAAGUAGAUAAAUAGGUACCACUCCGGCGGGAAGGUAAAUGGCGUUUCUGUGCACUGCUCUGGUUUGCCAGAAGCAGCUUAGUCAUGCUGGCCACAUGGCCAAUAAAGCGAGAUGAGCGCCACAACCCGAGUCAGUCACGACUGGUCCUAAUGGUCAGGGGUCCCUUUACCUUUACCUUUAAGGAGGAAUUGGGGGAGGGGAGCCGUGUGUGCCUCCUGAGCUACUUGGAGGAAAUGUAGGAUAUAAUUGUAGCAGCAGCAGCAGCAACAACAACAACAACAACAACAACAACAACAACAACAACAACAACAACAAACACCUUAGCAGAAGGGUAUUAUUGACCAAAGCUGGAUUAAAACCUAGCGACUGAAAGUUUGUACUGAAAAUCAGUUACCCAUACCUUGGACCACCCAUUUCCUAGCUAACAGAUCAGUUGGCCAGGGAGAAAAAGGUCUGCAAGGCAUAAUGGAGGUAUUAGCAUUCAGUAGGCAUUUGGCAUGUUUCUCAACUAGAAGAAUUCAGUUCAUGUCCAAAUUGGACGUCAGCUUGGGCUGGCUGGGAAAUACUACACAGAAUCCUUUUGAAAGGAAAAUAUAUAUAAAAAUGAAAGUAAAUAGGAAAAAAAUACUUCAUUUUAAGAAACACGGUUGAGUGGCUAAAGUUGCUUUUGUAUCUAGACUCUGCACAACACACUAAACCCCAUCACCCAUAUGCUGAGAAAUAACUAAAAUAAGAUGUUGUCUGUCAACCGUCCAAGUUCUGCUUUAUUGAACUCAGAGUUUUGGAAUAAGCUAACCAGAUCAAACCAGGAAAAAUAAUGAUGUGUGAAAAUUCACUCUAAUUUUUCACUUUUUUUUCUUUUCUUUUUUUUGAGGCAUGGGGUGUAGUAAGGGACUUUACUAACACCAUAUGAGGGAAAGAACAAUUUUUAAAAAGAAUGAGGCAUGAGUUGAGAUUUGUAACACAAUUUUUACUGUUGAAUUUAGAGUAGGUUUCUAAGAAAUGUAACAAGUGAAAAAGUAAAGCAAGUCUUUCUUGGUUCAGGAGAAAAGAACAUAUUGCCAAGAUACAAGUUUGGGGCAUGUACUCUUUAGUGAGAGAACCUUAGCAAAGAUGUAAAGUCACAAAAUAUGCAGCAACGUAAAGCAUGGAAAUCUAGGCUGUAAAACCUUUAAAAUAUCCCCUUUAAAGUGAGUUCCAAAAAGCCCCUUAAAACAUUUUUUUCUGAAGUUUCCCUCUUCCCACAGCAUAGGAGAAAACCACACGUCUGGUAAAUUUAAAAAUGGUUUACUUAGAAACUCUUCAAAAGUCAGAUUCAUGUGCUUUUCUGUACAUCAGUCAGAAUGCAUAGGUAGUAAAAAAAAUAGUUUAACUACAUUUCCUCUUUACUUCCUAUCCCCUCAGGAGUGGAGGUGGUGUCAGGCCUGCCAAGAAGUUCAGAGACGUGCCUGUGGGGUAGCCAGAUGAUUUAAUUUUUGGGAGGAAAGAGAUGCCAAAGGUGAACCAGGUGUGCAUUGGGACCCAACAAAUGGCCAGGAAGGGAGAGCCAUCACAGAGGAUAUAAACCUUCAUGUCUCUCCUGGGUCUUUGCUAGGAUAAUGAUACCCAGUUACAGGAAGCUGGUGAUGGGCAGCCUAGGGCUCAUCCACACUUUUCCUGGAUCUGCAUUUUUAUCAUAUUGUGUACCAAUUAAUUCUCCCAAGCCCAGAGCUUAUCUCAUUCUUCCAUCUCUGAACCUUAUGAAAUUCCAUUAUUUCCCACUGAAUUGAAGCUCAUUUAGCAAAAUUUCUCUUCAGAUUUUUCCGCACAUCUAAUAAGAUCUGACUCAAUGAGGAAGACCGGAUUUUUGCAAGGCACAGCUCCAGAACAACAAAAUCAACAAUAUGAUCAAAAUCUGGGGGUGGAUGAGCCCUUAGAGGAGGUCAGGCAAAUGCAGUAGGGGUUGUAAAAAUGAUACCCCUUUAGUAGCUUUUGGGAAUAAUUGCCUCUCCCCGUCCCCAAUAUAUAGAAUGAAUGGAUCAUUCAACAGAAUUCCUUCAGAAUGGUUUACCUAUCUAUAAAAUGAAGUAGUGAUGGGAAGAAUAUCCUUGGGGAUAAAAAAUGCUAGUUGAUAUAUUUCUAAAAGUAGAAGCUGAUGAGGAGAUUCUUUCUUUGAAAAGUGCUGUUCCACAGAAACAUUCGCCCAGAGUGUUCGGAAAGGCUGGUUGGUAAAUUGCGGCAUACUGUAACCUGAUUUGUUUCAUCUGUAACCGUGUAUUGGGAAAAUCAUCUGAAGUCAAUGUCUCACUGACAGGGGGAUCAAGUGGCAAUGAACAUUGCGGGGGGCGGGGCAGUCAUAGUGUUAAGCUCCAAUGGGUCUUGCCAAGAUGCAUGGGCCUUAGCAAGAUGGUGCUGACAUUGGAAUUAGAGAGACUAAUGUAUGCAGCAGCAAGUCGUUGGUGUGCACCAGGAUUUCUGAGAAAGGGCCAGGAUAUUUUCUUCAAUUGGCAGUAGGAAUACGUGUCCCAGUUCUGGGCAAAGUCAGACAAGCCCCAUUGUCAACCUCUUUUAAAUGAGCUUUGAAGACUUACUUUUUUAAAGCAUUAAAAUGUGAGGUCAGAUGUUGGAUUAGAAUGAUUGGGCCGUGUCUGAUGCUGGUUUACUCCUAUGAUAGUCUAGGUUUGUUUUAAUGUCUGGUAGUAGAUGGAUGCCCCUAGUGUAUUUCAGUGAUUGUAAACCAUUUUUUGAGACAAUUUUUCUGAAAAGCAGUUUUUAAGCCUUUUAAACAAAAAGAAAAAAAAUACAAAUAGAUGAGUGUUCCAUCCUUAACAAUGAUGGGUGCUAAAAAUGGCAUGUGGGGAAGGGAAGUUUGUUGUAAAGGGGGUACAUUUAAUAAAGCUCUUCUACACAACUAUUAAAGGCAUGAGAAUCCUAUCCUGGUUUACACUGGAUAUCACUACUGCUAAACCAAAAUCUGGUGUGAUGAUAGUAGGACUGAAAAUACUGGUUUCUUUUGUGCACACGCCCCAUGAGAGAUGAAAAUUCUGGUCCAGUAAUUUUCCUAUUCCUCCUACACCCCAUCCUCUUGGCUAUUAACCCAAGAGAGUCCUUUGGCUCCCCUAUGGAGCCCAUGUGCUGAUGGUUAAAUUCUGACCAUUCUGGUACCUGAAUCUUCUUCUUUCCAUUACAGAAUAAACCUGUAGAACUGCAGCUAUCUUUAGCCUGGAGGUGCACUGACUAAUAAUACAAGCAUCCUCCAGGGCAAUCCUGAGCCAUCUGGGUGUGUUUUAUUAAACUUGCUCUUCCGCACCAUGCCCCAGCCUGUAAUACUUCCUGCUAUCUGUUUGUGGCACAUUGCUAAGGGGAUAUUCAUCUGUUAGUCUGUUGUGGAGGUUUUAAAGUAGACGAAUCACUCACUCGCUCUCAGAUAUCGGUGAGAGGAGAGAAUCAUCAAGGUGAAGGUGGGACCCAGGUGCUGCCAACAAGGCAAGGUAUGUGGCACUUCAAGUAGGCAUGACUCAGACAUAAGAAAGCAUUAAAUCUGAAAAACAAUGAAACCAUCAUAGUCUUUGGUAUUUGGCCAAAGUUCACCUCCAGUGGCAUUGUAAACAAAGUGCAAAUGCUAGCAUUCCUGUUUACCUGAACUUCUGGUUAAUUUGCAUUAAGGCUCCAGUAUGAUCUCUAGGGUUCUAUAUUCUCUAGAGCAGGCAUAGGCAAACUCAGCCCUCCAGAUGUUUUGGGACUAAAUUUCCAUCAUCCCUGACCACUGGUCCUGUUAGCUAGGGAUCAUGGGAGUUGUAGUCCCAAAACAUCUGGCAGGCCAAGUUUGCCUAUGCCUGCUCUAGAGAUUCUGAUCAAGGUCUUGUAAUUAAAAACAAUCCACCAUGAAAUCCAUGGUUUCCACUACAAUCAUUUUAGUUAUUUCCCCCACCCCUUGUGGAAAUUGUGUUUGAGUAAAGCCUGCAAUUUUCUUGUACCCCUUGCAAUGCCACGAUUUUACGGACUGGUAAGGUAUAAGUUGUGAACUACAGAUUCUGAGGCAUAGCUGAAGAUGAGCUGCCAUUUUCUAUACAUCUGAAUACAUUUCUCCAUAAGGACAAAGUGUGCUCUACACUUAAUGCAUGUAUGUGUUAAAAUGAGAGUGAGUAAAUAAAGAUGAUGGAAGAAUCUCCGUCUCCCAGAGUAGCUUACUCCCCCCCCACCCCGGUGGCGGUGCUCCCAUGUAGAAAUGGCUUUAAUAGUUUUGAUGGGGUUUCUUUGGUAUUUUGUAUUCUCUUACACUGCUUUGAUGGGCCCAGGCUGUGAAGCAGUUUAUACAUUUGUCAAAUAAAAAUAAUUAAGGAGCAGAACUUUAGCAGGCGAAGCUUUUCCCCGCUAUGCAGAUAGAAACGCAAGAGUCCUCACUACAAGCUAUUAAAAGAGAGCGGAAGAGUCGCUACCAUGAGUUCAAAGAGGCUGCAAGUACAUCUACACUACACCUUUAAACUUGGGGAGGGGGCUCCUGCGUCCCUUUGACAGAGGACAUUUCAGCAGGUACACCUUUUCUGACCCCUGUAUGACAAGCUGCACUUGCAGACAUUCAUUUUCUACACAGCUCCCUCCAGUGGUUUUGUCCUCCUUUAUAUCCCACUGCCCUAAUUUAAGUCUGGUUUAAUUGCCCUGGUUCCCAACAAUGUCUGCAGGAAAACUUCAAGGUGUCUCGUCUGGGGAUUUCUAAAUGCUACCAAGGAAAUUAAUUCCCAGUGCUCUUUGGAGAAGCCCAUGGCCAGUAAAUAGGGUUGGGCUUCUGCUGCCAGAAUGUUCUCCAUUUUAUCUAACCACGAUGGCUAUAUUAUCUUACCUUAUCUUAUAUUAUAUUACCACAGUUCAAGAAGGACACUGACAAACUGGACCGUGUCCAGAGGAGGGCAACCAAAAUGGUCAAAGGCCUGGAAACGAUGCCUUAUGAGGAACGGCUAAGGGAGCUGGGCAUGUUUAGCCUGGAGAAGAGGAGGUUAAGGGGUGAUAUGAUAGCCAUGUUCAAAUAUAUAAAAGGAUGUCACAUAGAGGAGGGAGAAAGGUUGUUUUCUGCUGCUCCAGAGAAGCGGACACGGAGCAAUGGAUCCAAACUACAAGAAGGAAGAUUCCACCUAAACAUUAGGAAGAACUUCCUGACAGUAAGAGCUGUUCGACAGUGGAAUUUGCUGCCAAGGAGUGUGGUGGAGUCUCCUUCUUUGGAGGUCUUUAAGCAGAGGCUUGACAACCAUAUGUCAGGAGUGCUCUGAUGGUGUUUCCUGCUUGGCCCUUGGGAGUUUGGACUCAAUGGGGGUUGGGGGUUGGACUCAAUGGCCCUUGUGGUCUCUUCCAACUCUAUGAUUCUAUGAUUCUAUGAUCUGCUGGAGGCAGGAUGCUAUACCAGUUGCUGUAAAACACAAGUGGGGAGAGUUCUGUUGUGAUCAGGUCCUGCUUAUGGCAUCCCAUAGGGAACUGGUUGGCCACAAGAUCUGAGGAAAAGUAACAGGGAGGAGGGGAGUAUCCAAGUGAAAAAGUAGUUAAGCAGCUUCUUUCCUGCCCUGUCCUUCUGCUUAAACUUAAGCUGGUGUGUGUUUGUGUGUAGAGAGAGGUGGUGUAUUGGUUAGAGUGUUAGACUAGGGCCUGGGAGACCAUGGUUUAAAUCCCCACUUGGCUAUGAAACUCACUGGGUGAUCUUGGGCCAGUCAAUACCUCUCAGCCUUGCCUACCUCACAAGGUUGUUGGGAUUAGACGAGGAGGGGGAGUACCAUGUACAUAGCCUUGAGCUCCUUGGGUGGUGCUGGGAGGUGGGAUAUAAAUGCAAGAAAUAAGUUACAGAAAGGGUGCAUAAGGCUGAUUGUUAGUUAGAGGGCAUGGUGGUUAGGGAAGAAGCUGAGGAGCAGGCAGAUUCUUGUGCCCACCUGCACAUUUGAGGAGGGAGGAGGGAGCUCUGCACCAGCAGGGAGCUCUCGGUGUCACUUCACAGGUGGCAGAAGGGUGUUGGAGGCUGGGCUGACGGGCAACCUCCACCCAAUCCAACACACACAGCCUGGGGCAAAGGGAGGGUUGGAUUCCUCUGCCAGUUUGGCCAUCAGAGAGAGAAAAAGCUGACGAGCUUCCAGUGUAAGGAGGGGAUCAUGUCAGUGCUGGAUUUACGUAUAGGUUAAACAAUCUAUAGCUUAGGGCUCCAAUCUCUUGGGGGCCCCCAAAAAAUUUAAAAGGGAAAAAACUGGAUGUACAUUUCUAAAAUAGAUAAAUAAAAUCAAAUCUACAUACAGCAACAGUGUUUUGUGUUGUGUAGGCUCCUAUUUGUUAUGUGCAAAUGGCUUUAGAUACCUAUUAGGUCCAUAAAUUACUAUAUAGCAUUUAUUCAACACAAAAAACACUGACAAUUUGUUAUUGACAAAGGACAGCUGGACAUAUAAAGGGCCCCAUUACCUUCGGUAGCUUAGGGCCUCAUCAAACCUAAAUCCAGCCCUGCAUGUAUUGUAUAUAAAUACAAAGUGGGGGGAGCUCCUAUUCUUAGCCAUAGUUGUGAUGAAAUCUCAGCCGUUCUAUGCAUAGAUACACAGAGCUGUGGCUCCUCAAUUUCCUAUUUCUAAACAACUUAUCCUGCCCAUGUUUACCUGCUGGUCACCUUACUUCACACGACGUCUGGGCAAGGAAGAAGAGCUAUAAAAGGAAGUCAACUUGUGUCCCAUCGCAUUUUCAGGGAAGGCCCGCCCUUAGGCAAGUCUGAAUGCUGUGGUUUCUGCCUACUCUUCAGACAUGUCUAGAGGGUGUGUCACAUUCCAAAUAAAUUUGUUUUCAGUCACAAAUAUUUGGCAUACAAGGUAAUUCAGGGGAGUUUUCAUGUUUGUAGGAAUGAAGCAAGAAGUGCAGGGUCCUCCAUUUAGUUUUAAUAUAUCACCUAUGUACAACACUGAACAGAAGUCUAAUCCUCAAGCUGCUGAAAGGUACCGCUUAUGAUACUUUUUUGAACUGUAUUCAGAUACUUGAGUACGAAGUACACACGUCUCAGCAAUCCUACAGUUCUGUAGGGACUAGAGGGCAGCUCUGAUGAUAUUUUAUAUUUAUCUGGGUAGAUACAGUUGUGUGAAAUGCAACUAGUGUAGGAUCCUGCUUCCAGAUAUUUUUUUGAGGAAGUAGAUGGCAGAUAUGUGUCUUCUGCAUUUAAGUCAUCUUCAAUCGGUGUCCAAGUACAACAGCUGUUGUACUUUACUAGACAUUUACCACUGAGCCCUACAUCAAUACAUGACGCAAGGUCAACAGAGGUCAUUCUUACACAAUCCAAACUCCCAACAGUGUAACCAGCAAGACGGAAGAAUGAAAAGAAUUCAUGCAGGUGAAACCAAAGUGACAUGUAUUUGCAGCAUAUUAUUAAGGAAUUAAGUAUUUGAGACAUCAUAGAAAACAUGUACCCAUUUUAUAAAUGAGGAACAAUGAGGCCAAUAGUAUUUUGAAAGCCAGUGAAUCCAUGGCAAAGAACUAAAAGCCCAUGAAAUGAGCCAAGAUACAGACAUUGAAAUCAAACGAAUCCAUGAAAGAACUCAAAAUUGAUGCAAAAGUAGGUAACCGAAUGAAAUUGUGCAAGUUAGUCACUAUAAAACAAAUCAGUAAAUGAAUUAAGGAUCUAGGAAACAAUGCCCAUGGCAAAUUCCCUAUCUUAUAAACACCCCUCUUCUCUCAUCUAUCCAAACACACACACAGUCUCCACCAAACAGGCAUGCUCUCCCUGAAUUAUCUUCAGUUGCUGCUUCAGGCAGAUUCCAGUUCCUCACUGGACUGAGCAGGAGACUCAGAGGGUAAAAAUGUGUCACGUGAAAGCACCACCACCACCACAACAACAAUUUAUUUGUACCCCGCCCAUCUGGCUGGGUCUCCCCAGCCACUCUGGGCGGCUUCCAACAAAGAUUAAAACUACAUUAAAAUGUCACACAUUAAAAACUUCCCUUCAAGGGAUCAUCUGAAAAUGAUGGCUUCAAAGGUCAAAAGAGGUGAUAUCAUAACUACUGCUAUUCAGAAGUAGUAACACCGGAGCACUAUCCCUAACAGUGGAAUUUGUCUACAAUGACCUUAAAGAACAAUAAACUUUUAAGGAAAGAACAACACAACAUUUCUGUGCAUGCAUGACAGUUACUUGUAAUUCGGUUCUGCUGACAUCAGCUUGAGGUUUUUGCUCUUAUUGUGCAAACAGAAAUGAGUUGAUAGAUGGUGAAAUCAUUGUGUUCAGGGAGCUUGCUGGAGAUGAGUGAGCUCGAUCAGCAGCUGCCUGAGUUUUAUGGGUGGGGGGGUGUUAGAUGUUGAAAUGAUCUCCUAUCUGUACUUCAUGUACUUGGGCAGCUUUCACAUUAUGGACAAUGUCCAUUACACAGUGCACAUUGAGGUGAAGCAGUCCAUACUGCUUUCUCUAAUGCUCCACUAUGGAUGAACAAAUCUGCCAACUUCUCAUAUUCCCAAUCUUAAACUCAUUUUUUUUUUUUAAAAAAAGAAAGUACUCAACAUUAAUCAGCACUUUAGGGCACACUUCUCCAAAUACAUUAAAUUCAUGUAUGCAGUUUUCUCUAAGCUAAUGCAUUUUUGUAUGUUAUUUUCAGUAAUAAAGCCAUUGUUAUGAACACUUUCCUUUAAUUUGCCCAAUUUAAUUUUUUCAUGUAUUUCACAGGGUUUGUAUACCACUUACUCAUCAAAGCCCCUAAGCAGUUUACAUACCGAUUUACAUUAAAAUGUACACAUCUUUUUGGCUCAAGAACCAAAACAUUCAGAAGUGUGCAGAUUUUGAAGGGGAGCUGCAUUUUGUAGGUUCUUAAAAUGCAAACCAAAACAAAUCCUCCCUCUGCCCAAUUUUCUAUCUAUCCUUGACUUCUGUUUAGCACUACUUAUUCAAGCAGCGCAAACCUUGUAUUGGUUUGGGCAGACACAUUGUCCUGUCAUUCUUCCUGACGACCAUCUGGGGAGGGGGUGUGACCUGAGGACAGUCAUGAGGGCCCCAUAGAGAGGCCUGGAGGGCUGCAUUUGGCAUCCAGGUCUGAUAGUCCCAUUUCUGGAUUAAAAAAUAAUAAUAAUAAUGCAGCAGAUGCACUAAAAAAUCCCCUUUCCCCUUUUUCUUCACCCGUAAUUCAACAAUUAAAUAAAAAGUGGUUUUAUGGGUGCUAAAGGGAGCCAAAUGUUCUCAACAGCCUCAUUGUCAUACUGAAGAUAGGAAGGCUAUUGUUUCCGAGUUCUGUUCUACAGUUCCCGAACCUCCGAUUGCUUGGAUUUACCUAGGACACUUCCCUUUUCUCUAGCACCUGUUGUGUAGAUGGUUAUGCAAUUUACUUGCAGGUAUUGGCAAGCUGCCAAAUUUGAGGAUUCCAUCCAUGCUCUAAACAUUGUGGUUCUCUGAUCUGUGUUCCGUACUUGGCAGUUCACAAUCUGUUUGGGAAACUGCCAUAUAUUUUUAAGAAAUCUAUUAAAACAAGGCUGCCACUUACCUGGGAAGCCAACCUGUGGGGCAAAGCUAGUGGCGUUUGUCUAGGCAGAAGGAAAUUCUACUGUUUAUUCCUGUUCCCAUCAGUAUAUUAUGCCGUUCUUAAAAUUCCUUUAAUGUGGCAACCUCUCUUCUUUGGAACUCCUUGCCGAUUGACAUCAGGCACACACCACCACUGUAGUUUUUAAGGCACUUGCUGAAAACUGUUCUGUUUCAACGGGCCUAUCCAAGGGAUAUGAUUUGGUUACAUCUGUUCUUAAAUUUAUUUUAGAUGUCUGAUUGUUUUUGUUUCAAAUGCUUUUGUUUUUCAUUUCAUUUUAUUUUUGCCACAGGAGUGUUUGCCUAAACUCAUUUUGGAGGAAGAGUGGAAUAAAAAAAAUGAAUGAAUGAUUAAAUCAAAUGCCUUGGCUUGCUUUUUAAACAUGUCAAGAGCAGAUUGGGAACCUCUGAUACUUUUCUGUGAAGAUGAUACAGUAAGUAGCUGGAACUUUCUAGAAGGGUUGGAGGGGCUGGGGUGGGACUUUUGAGGACAGAGUUUCCAAAGAAAUUGGGUGCAGCUGUUACCAAGAUUGUGACCUGCAAGGUGUGGGUGGGAAGAACCCUUCUUCCCUGAACAGGAAGGUGGGAAGUUCAGCCCAUCUCAUAAAAAUAAAAAAUAAAAAUCCCCAUUGGCAGUGGAGCAAGGAAUCUCUUUUGAUUAGGAAUCCCAACCCUGUGAUGUUUGCCGAGUUGCUUUUUUAAUGGGGAAGUGAAUACCACUGCUGCUGUUUUUAUAUUGUUCUUCAGGUCAUCCCUUGGGACAGCUCAUUUGUAUCUGAUUCAUGCAAUAAAAUGGGCUGUGGUCUCAUGUGCUGGCAUAUUUACACAUAAUUCAGCACUUCCAGUAAAAUACACACAGAGAGAGAGAGAGAGAGAGAGAGAGAGAGAGAGAGAUUGUAUCUUGGCAGUACAAUACCUGCCAACCAUCCCAAGGUAGGAUAAACUGUUUGUUAGAAAGCUGUAACAUGAAGUGUUUGAUGAGCAAAAGCAGACGGGUUAAUUGGCAGAAUAUGAGUGUUUAGAACAGAAUAAAAUAAUUGUAGGGUUGGAAAGGGACCCAAGGGUCGUCUAGUCGAACCCACUGCAAUGCAGGAUUGGAAUCUCAUUUCCUGCAAUUUGAAUCCAUUGGUUUGGGUCCUACCCUCUGAAGCCAGGAGAAUAGCCGUCCUGGUCUUGGUGUGGAGAAUAUUAUGCACAAAUGCAAGGAAAACAUUAUCUGGCACCUUAACAAUUAAGAAAUAAGCUUUUGAGGACUGAAAUUCAUUUCAUUAGAUUAUGUAUGAAGUGCUAUCCUGAGUUGCAGGUAGGGGCAGGGGUACACAUGCGUACACACACACACACAGAAAAUCAACAUAUGGGGUAAGGAAACAGUGAAGUCAGAAGGAAAGAAUAUGCAAAAAAAGUUAAUAAUGCAGCGCUACCACCAAAAACUAUAGAAAAGACUGACAAUAAUAGCACCUUUGUACUGAGCCUAGGGCUUGCCGAUCAGAAGGUCGGCGGUUUGAAUCCCUGCGACGGGGUGAGCUCCCGUUGCUCGGUCCCAGCUCCUGCCAACCUAGCAGUUCGAAAGCACAUCAAAGUGCAAGUAGAUAAAUAGGUACCGCUCUGGCGGGAAGGUAAACAGUGUUUCUGUGCACUGCUCUGGUUUUGCCAGAAGCGGCUUAGUCAUGCUGGCCACAUGACCCAGAAGCUGUACGCCGGCUCCCUCAGCCAAUAAAGCAAGAUGAGCGCCGCAACCCCAGAGUCGGCCACGACUGGCGUACAGAACAGUCAGGAAAGCAAAUAAGAAGGGAUGUUCUUCAGGAAGUUUCCUACAGGAGGAAUUUGCAUUUGAGCUUUGGACUCGGCUUUGGUCAUAGUUCUAAUGGAAUGGUAGAAUGGAAACUGUAACCCUACAAACAGAAUCCACAACACAAUGUUGCAAUGCAUCUUCUUUAAAGGAGUGCCCCUGUUCAGUCAUUCCAUCCAAAUGGGGCAUUCCACUUCGUUGGCAUAAAUCUCUUUAUUUAUUUUCAUACUGUCCUUCUGCAUUCCAUGACUACUACAAAGCACACUUAAUCCUAUUUGGACUGUUUAGGGGUUUUAAAAAUAUUUUUUGUACUUCUGCAAACCUUGGGAUUCUCCCCAAGUAUCCUGAAACUUCUUGUUUCUCAGUGGCCCCACCUUGGCUACAAUCCUGGCAACAUGUACCAUAUGAGUUAGCUCUCAGAAGGAGCGAUAGUUUAAAUUAUUGGGAAAUUUUGUUUGUGAGGCGUUUUCCAGUAUUUUAGCAAUGUUUGUAUUGAUGUAAAACAUGGAUUUGAAGUCAUUCUGCUUAGUUCACACAAAAGAGAAUUAUUUCUGAGCGUGUGGGAUUUCUUUUUUGCCCUUUGCUGACUGUUGCUUUGUCUCCUUAACAAUGGUAAAAGCAUAUCUUUGGUUGAUAGGAAGGCAGAUAAGAAGAAUGCAUGCCACAUUUAUAAAAGCAUAGAGAUUAGGUAAGGUGCUCUCCCUGUUAAAACUGAUAAUGAAAUGACACGAAACGACACAGAAUACAUACAAAUCUUACCAACGGUCUCAGCAGCCAAUAAACCUCAUAAGAGCUGCAGUUUGAAAGGAGGGACUGGAAUCUCUAAUGGAGAAUUAUUAUGGCCAUCAUCAAACUACAGUCUGCAAUAACUUAGAGAGAGCCUCAGCAGUUAAACCAAAAUCAUAGGGCUGUGCAGUGCUUUUUAUCUUAAAAAAAAAUGUUUAGGGUUACUCUCAUUUUCCUACUCAUAUUGAAAUACUGCCCCUCAAUGAGGCCAAACUUAGAUUCACAAAAUGUUUAGGGGUAUGUGUACCCCUGAUUCCCCCCAGGAAAAAAAGCACUGGUGCUGCGUACACACAAAGUAGUUAAAGCACCCCCACCAGAUUGUAGUUUACUUCACACAGUUACGAUUUCCAGCACCCUUGACAGUUCCCAGGAUCAUCUGCGGGUGGGUGAGUGUGCUUUAAAUGUAUGGUGUGUAUGCAACCAGAUAGAUCCUUAUUAGGCCACUUCCUGAGAGAGCCAGAGGAUUUGCUUUGGGUGCCACCAUACCUGCCAGACAGGCUAUGCUGGUGAAUGCUAUGCCAACAGCCAGCUGAGCCAACCGGGGUUUAAUUGGAUCAUUGGAGUGGCAGAGUCUAAGAAAGUAACUGUUGUGGAAAACCCACCAACACCUCAACAUGCCUCUUCAGUUACUUUUCUUUCCACUUUCUCUCAAAUUCUAAAUCAACUAGAAUAUCUGACAUCUCGAUACAGCUAGAUUUCAGAGGUGUAAAGACAUAUUCCGUCACCCAGGACCAGAUCAGAAUUCUCCCCAUGACUACAAACUUCAGAAAAAAGUCCACGAACUAGGCUAAUAACAACAUGCUGAAUCCAGCAGUGACGCAGCUAAUUUCUCUUCCCCGAAAACAAACUGUGGUGCAAAAGAUAAGGCUGCCUUUCACGGUUCUAUUAUCAAACCACUUUUGCUGGCCCACAAACGGUUACAGCUAGUGAACAGGUUUUGGCACGUACACACAGUGUCUCAUGUGAGGAUCUGCAAAGGCAAGACGGAGGAAGGGGGCACACUAUAUGUAUAUGUGUGUGUGUGUGUGUGUGUGUGUGUGUGUGUGGUUCGGUAUGGCUUCUUCGGCUUGGGAACUAACUCCCAAUAAUUGUUCUCCUUCUCUUAAACCUUUCUACUUUUAUAUUGGCCUAUUGGGGGAAUUAAGUCACUUGAUAUAAUCAAAGAGACCGGCACUUCAGUCACAAGAUUCUGAAUUUUUAGCACCAUGUGGUUUUGGGUGAAGCAGUCUCAUUGUUGAAGUGCAGAAGAAGUGUGGCAUGCAUGGGAAAGGAGCAUACUUUGCUUUGAGAUCAAUUUGAAGGUCAGAACAUGCUUGGAAUUCCAGGCCGGGUGAUGGCGGAUGAUACUAAUACUAUAUAUAAACUACUAUUGCCAUUGUUUUGAUAAACUGCCUUUAGAAGGAACCAAUAUAGCAAUAACUGUUUUACAGGCCACUUAGCACUCUCAUGGGCAGAGAUAAUCAGCUCUGGAGGAAGUAACAACAGUAACAGAGAAACGGAUCAAAUAAAGGCAUAUGAUAUAUUUUAAUUUAACCGCAGAAAAAUCUAAAUUUCUCUCUUGAAUGAUCAAUUGGACAAAUAAAGGCUUUCCUGUCAACUUGUGUCAAGAAUCACGUUCAGAACCUGUGAGCUGAGGGAGACUCACCUUAUGUGCCACCACUCACUUCUGGCCAAAGUAAGCCUUUUAAUCACAAUACAGUAGGGCAGAGCGGAUAAAUUGAUAUUCACUGCCAGUUUAUAAAGGAUUGCAGGUUAGGCUUGCUCACUACUCUGAGCAAGCAGAGGACACUGCUGAUCCUGCUUUGCCUUGUCUACAUAGGGUUGCCAUACGUCCGGGAAUUCCAGGACAUGUCCUCUUUUGUGGGUCCUACAUGCUCGUUUGGGAGGAAUUUUACAUUUUAAAGCAAAUGUCCUGGAAUUUGGGGGUUGUGUGUACGUGUGCAUGCCUGCAUGUGAUUCUGGUUCAGGCUUGGGCUCUGGCGACCUGGGCUCUUGUUCAUGGGCUUGAUGGUGGCAGAGGAGCUAUCGGGCAAUUGCCCUAACAAAGCUCAGCAGAUUUUUACCUCUUGAAAUAAGGCAGUCCUACAACCCAUAAUUCGUGGGUAUUUAUUUAUUUCUGAAAUGUUUAUUCCAUCACAUUUCCAAAGAGUUCAGGGUAGUGUUAGGGUUUCCUGUCCGCUCGAUUUUAUCAUUACAACCCGCUAUAAGGUUAGGUUAGGCUAGGCUUAGAGAGAAGAAAGAAGAGGAGUAGUAGUAGUAGUAGUAGUAGUAGUAGUAGUAGUUUGGAUUUGAUAUCCCACCUUUCACUCCCCUUCAGGAGUCUCAAAGCGGCUAACAUUCUCCUUUCCCUUCCUCCCCCACAACAAACACUCUGUGAGGUGAGUGGGGCUGAGAGACUUCAAAGAAGUAUGACUGGCCCAAGGUCACCCAGCAGCUGCAUGUGGAGGAGCGGAGACGCAAACCCAGUUCCCCAGAUUAUGAGACUACCACUCUUAACCACUACACCACACUGGCUCUCACACCACACUGGCGCUCUCUCUCUCUCUCUCUCUCUCAACUGCUCCAAGAUCUCCUGGUGAAGUUUGCAGUUGCGUGAGGCUUUAAACCUGGAUCUCCCUGGCCUUAAUCCAGUACUGUAACCACUACUCACACUAGCUCUCCAGGAAUAUGCAUGUGUGGCAAAGAGGGGGAACCCUGCCCUCCAUGCCUUCAUCUGACUCUCCUUGUUGCAGGAAGAUGUUCCUCUUCCUCUGAGACGUAAGUAAAUGUCCAAGCUGGAGAUGGUGUAUCCUGAUUUUAUGAAUAUUUCCUCUCGAAAGCUUUGGUUGCUUUUUUGUGAUCAGUUGUUGCCAUCUGAAGCAGGUGACAAUUGUCAACACACAGAGAAACAGGGUAGGUAUGAAGCCAAUAGGAACUCUCCGGUGUGGCCUCUUAAAGAGAUAGAAGAGAGACCAAAUCUGCCUUCACUGAUGAGCCCUGCCAUUAUUUGACACGUUUGUUUAUAAGAUGCAGCAGGGGUAGGGAAGCUGUGGUUGUUCUGAUGAUGUUGGGAAUGAUGUGGAGGACCACACCUCUGGAGAUAGAGAGCUGCUUCUGGAGAACAAGCAGAACAAGAAACAUCUCUGUUUCAGUGAAUGUUUAUAUUGUACUUUUGCAUAGAAAUCACCCCAAAAGGAAAUCCAUUUCGACAUACAGAGAAACACAUCUGCCAAGUUUAAUUGUGCCCCUUCUUGGUUUUGCUCCUGUCUCACAAAAAAGCAGAUAGAAACAAAAGAGCCCUGCCUGAUCAGACCAAAGUUCAUGUAACUCAGCAUCCUGUUCUCACAGGGACAGUAUCCAACUUUCUGUUCCCUCUCUCUGUCCUUAUUACUACAGGUCUUACACUUAUUUGAAAGCCUAGUAUCAGGUAAGUAAGGUAAAGGGACCCCUGACCAUUAGGUCCAGUCGCGGAAGACUCUGGGGUUGCGGUGCCCAUCUCACUUUAUUGGCAGAGGGAGCUGGCGUACAGCUUCCGGGUCAUGUGGCCAGCAUGACUAAGCUGCUUCUGGCAAACUGGAGCAGCACACGGAAACGCCGUUUACCUUCCCGCCGGAGCGGUACCUAUUUAUCUACUUGCACUUUGACGUGCUUUCAAACUGCUAGGUUGGCAGGAGCUGGGACCGAGCAACGGGAGCUCACCCCGUCGCGGGGAUUUGAACCACCAACCUUCUGAUCAGCAAGCCCUAGGCUCUGUGGUUUAACCCAGUAUCCCAAAGGAAAUAUGCAGAAGGCAGAAUGCAUUGUGUCCACUUCCCCCAAUAUUCUGUCUUCUUUUUCUACUGAUAACAUCACCCUUCAGCCUUCUCAACAACAGUUUGGGUGUUGUCUUUGAGCCAACGUAUGUGCAAUUGCAUUUCUCAUAUCUGUUGUUAAAGGAAAAAACGGAGUCGUGGAGGGAUCUGGGACCCCGCCUAUCUGUGUUUCCUUUCUGUUCUCUUUAGUCCUUCCAUUCACCAAACAUUAAGCUUAUCAAACCUCCACUUCUCACGUGCACCAUGUGCUCUGUCUUAUCGCUCUACUUCCUCUCUCACGGCUCCUUAAAAUAUUUUGCUGGCUGCCUCUGCAGGUUUCACUUUCAGGUGGCAUCCUGACCAUUCAAUCUGGGGGAUUCAUUCAGGCAAGUGCUGCUGCAUUGCUCCAGCGCUUGAGAGCAGGACCAAAGCAAACAAGGCGCUGUUUGCUAUGAUCCUGCCAGCCACCUUUGCCUUUUGCUUUUUUCCUUUUCGUCUCAAAGCUCAGAGAUAUGCUUUGAGAGUGCAGAAGGCAAUCCAAGGCCUCAACAGAUCUUCGUUCACCCAGAAUCCUCAGUGGGAAUUCUGCACAUUAUUUUUUGUCAUGGAGACUACUCACUGGCGCCUUCUCCUGGCCAAAGAGGAGUUUUGCAAACACUGAGAAGUUCCAGUUGUGAAAAUAAAAAGCUUUAAGUAGGCUUUUGGUGUGAGCAGUGGAAAACUCGUAGGCUAAGAAAUUAUUAGAAACUAAUUGUUUCUCGUUUGCUUUACACUCCUGAUGGACUGACUUCUGUUUCUUCCUCCUCCUAUGAUCAGUAGCUUGUGCAACUUCCCCUUUCUCCAAAUUGUCUUUUCUUUUGGGUCAUGUUUUCAGAUUGUGUGCUUUCGGUAAGCAACUUGUCAUUUUUCUAUUCUUAUACAGCACCUGGCAUCUUAUUUAUGAAUAGAAUAUGAACUCUGUUUAGAAAUUGCUCCCCGGUUGUUUUUGAUUUUAUUUUUGUCCAUUAUUUGCAUUUCAGUUAUUCCCCAUAACAAGCACUCUUCAAAACUAUGGUCAAUGCAAUGCUCAGUCAUAGCAGAGGCUUUUAAUCAAAGUAGCACUGAAAUGAGAUGCUAUUUAGAGCCCACCCUUCCAAUACCUAGCAGAUUAAGCAAAUAAAAUAUUUUUGAAUAACUUAAGUACUCGAGAGAAAGGCAAGAGAAAGGUGAUGUGCUGUUGGGAUGCACAGAUCUGCCAGUUUCAGUUUCUCUUUUUUCCAGUCUUUAGUUUACUUUCCCCCAUUUCUGCAUCAGUUUGUUUGUUUUUUAAGUUGGUAUGAAGUUUUGUGCACAUGCCUCCCAAUAUACACAUUUUUACAAGCAACUGUGCUUAAAUGUGAUCAUGGACAUUAUUUCACUAUUACACAUUUCUCUAAAACAUACAUUUCUGAAUACAGUGGUACCUUAGGUUAAGAACUUAAUUCGUUCUGGAGGUCUGUUCUUAACCUGAAACUGUUCUUAACCUGAAGCACCACUUUAGCUAAUGAAGCACCACUCCUGCUGCCGCUGCGCCGCCGCUGCACAAUUUCUGUUCUCAUCCUGAAGCAAAGUUCUUAACCCAAGGUACUAUUUCUGGGUUAGCGGAGUCUGUAACCUGAAGCGUAUGUAACCCAAGAUACCACUGUACAUUUUCUUGGGUUGCAGAACUGCAACACAAAAUUCAGAGAUGUGAGGAUUUCAAGGUGAUAUCAGCAUUUCAGUUCUGGAACUACAAAUUCAGUAGGUUUGGGAUUAGCACAUGAACUGAAUUAAUUUCUCCCUUAUCCCUCACUGUAGUGCAGUGCUUAGAGGGGUGCCCUAGGUUUAGGGACCAAUGUUUUAACGCGUACUUGUAGCCACCAAGGUUAUGCAAUGUGCUUGGCAUCCAUCUGUUUCUAGAAACACUGGAUUGUCCCUCUGGGGGUGAAGUCAAACCACUGUGUUAGCAGCACCAAAGAGAUUAUAGGCUAAUCUAAGAUACGGUACUUGAUAAAUCUGUUAGGAAGAUGGAGGAGGGACCACAUUCUUUGUAUUGAGCUUUGGAAGAAGGAAAGGUUUUUAAAAAUGCAAAUAAAAUGUUAAUGCAAUUUACAGAAGAAACUACAAGGAUAAAAAACCCAGAGAACAUUUACUGCCAGCACCUCCCCGCCCCCUCUGAAAACAGCAUCUCCGUUGUUGCCUGUAUAGCGAAUUAAGACUUAAGCUGAGCUGCAAGCUUUCUACAAUUGGCAGUUGCCUUAGGUUAAUUCAACAUUGACAAGGUUAAUUUAAUAUUAACUGUUUUUCUGCUUUAAGGCAUUGCAUACAACAUUUUAAAAAGAAAUAUAAAUGGUGUGUCCCAUUCUCACCUGCCUCCGAGAUCCAGCUGGUGCUGUAAAAAGUUGAGAACUCUAGACAGGAGGCAGAAGGCAAAAUAGUUGCGUGUUCAGACCGAGACCUCCCCCCUAAAUAAAUUCACACUUGACUCAAAUUUUAGUUUGGUUUUUGGCAGAAUUUAGGCCGCAACUUUAUUGAUUACAGUAGGUGAGUGGUUACAUAGGCUAUGGUCGACUAGCUCCCUGCACCCUUGCAGGCAGCGCUGACCCAGGGCACCAGCAUAGGUCAGCCAAGGGUGAACACCUGGGUAGGUGAAAAGCCGGGAACAGACUAUGUUCACCACCCAGAUGCCCCCCUGGACUCAGGCACGGGCACAACCCCCUCCCGGGGGUUGAACAAACCAAUUGAGUCCCUGGAUUCCUUUAAUGGAAUACCCUUCACAUAGGGAUGGUGAGACCACUCUCCCAUCUCUAUCACCUGAACCAGUGCCUAUCCGCAACCUUACAAGUUGUGACGAUUUGCUAGGCGGCAGGCAAAGCCCAAAUGGCAACAGCCAAUCAGUCAAGUGGGGAAAUUCCUGCCGUGCCCUGUCCCAACGACAGACGACGACAUAGCAAGGUCAGUCGCACAAAGCCCUAAAAUUAAGCAGAGGUAGGCGGGUGUUCCGAAUGGACGAGCCAAAAGGAGAAGCUCUGGGUCACGCGCAUGGGUAUAAAUAGGUCCCUUGAUCCAUUCAGACUGCGCCCCAUUGGCCAGAUUGAACCCAACAAUGAGGGACCUACUAAUCGGGUGUUGUGGCUAACCAAUCCAACCCACCCACAACACAGGAGGUCAGUCUCCAGAUCUCACCCCAACAUGUGCCCUCUUUUAGGGAGGACACGAUUUAUCAUUUCUUUCACACAGCACAUGCACCAAGGGACUUGAAGAUACCAUUAUGACAAAUCCCCAGAAAUCUGAUAUUCCGGCCCCAGCAGGGCUGCCCAGUCAGCUUCAGCUAGCCAAGUUCGGCACUGUAUUUGUUUGUGCGCUUUCUGUCUGUCUGUGUGUCUCUGGCAAUACAAGCGUACGAUUCAUCCUGUUGAAACUCCUUGUGUCCGGCUUAAGAAUUUGGUUUAGGCACACCUGGUGUACUCCAGCCUUUCUUCAGAGAAAUAGGUUGUGAUUACUCAGACAAUCCAGGACAUGUUUUCACAUACAGGCCAAUUUGUGUUUGGGAAGAAUGAGGCAAUAAACAGGACACUAUUAAAAAGGUAUGCUGGGAAGUGUAAAUUAUAGCUUUCAGCUAGGAUCAUAGAACCCCUUUUUUUAAGGCAAGUUUUUUAGGUUUCACACUGUCAAGUGGAAAGUGGAACUGCGCUACUGUUCCCAAUAUCGUUCACUGUUCUGCCCCCACCUCCCUCCCCUUAAAGGUGUGUCUGCCAUCUUCAUUUAUAUACCGUAUUUUUUGCUCUAUAAGACUCACUUUUUCCCUCCUAAAAAGUAAGGGGAAAUGUGUGUGCGUCUUAUGGAGCGAAUGCAGGCUGCACAACUAUCACAGAAGCCAGAACAGCAAGAGGGAUUGCUGCUUUCACUGUGCAGUGAUCCCUCUUGCUGUUCUGGCUUCUGAGAUUCCGCAUAUUUUUUUUCUUGUUUUCCUCCUCCAAAAACUAGGUGCGUCUUGUGGUCUGGUGCGUCUUAUAGAGCGAAAAAUACGGUAACUUCCAGUAAAUGCUAAAUACGUUACCCUGGGCUUUUGACACCUGAAACAGUGUUUGAAACUCCCAUUGUUCUAGGCGCAUUUUGCGACAGAGAAUCUCAUUAGCGCAAAGAGUUCUGAGCUCUGGGCACAAUCCUGUGCCUAAGAUUUCAGAUUAAAACAGCAGAGUAGAAGGAAGGGAGGACCUUUUUCUGCCUCCCCGCUUCCAGCUACUCUCUGAAGACUGGAGAAGAGACCCUCUUAAGAAUAUUAGGGUGGUGAGCAGGGGAAGGACUACUAGACCAUGUAAAAAAUGUAUAUAAUACUUCAGAAAUACUUUACUACUACUUCUUUUUCUGCUUUGUAUUCUUCUUAUUUAAAAAGCAUGCCUAGACAUUUCGUUGUUGCACCCAUAACCUAGGUUUAAGGUGUCAUUUAGCUCCUAGCUUUCAUAUCUGUUUCUAACACUGACCUGAAAUGCAUAUUUAUAGGACCCACCUUUCCGUAAUUAAAACAGCUUUGUAAACCGUUUUAAUGGUUGUAUGCCACAUUAGGCCUUAUGGUGAAGGACAGCUUACAAAUCAUCAUCAUCAUCAUCAUCCACCAGGCGUACACCUAAAGGAAAUGUGUAUAUCUCCAGCCUCAUCAGAUCCAUUAAUUUAGUCAAUAAGAAGUGGGUAUGCAUUGCAAUGAGGGUAUAUAAAGGUAAAGGUAAAGGUACCCCUGCCCGUACGGGCCAGUCGUGUCUGACUCUAGGGUUGCGCGCCCACCUCACUUAAGAGGCCGGGGGCCAGCGCUGUCCAGAGACACUUCCGGGUCACGUGGCCAGCGUGACGAAGCUGCUCUGGUGAGCCAGCACCAGCGCAGCACACGGAAACGCCAUUUACCUUCCCGCUAUAAAGUGGUACCUAUUUAUCUACUUGCACUUAGGGGUGCUUUCGAACUUCUAGGUGGGCAGGAGCUGGGACCGAAAGACAGGAGCUCACCCCGCCGCGGGGAUUCGAACCGCCGACCAUGCGAUCGGCAAGCCCUAGGCGCUGAGGUUUUACCCACAGCGCCACCCGCGUCCCUAAUGAGGGUAUAUAUACGUACAUUAAUUUUUUGCAGGAGGAAGGUGUAUAAGUUAACAAGAACCAAUUGUUAAAAUGUCUUUUAAAAAAUCCAUAAAUUGUAGGUUAUGUACAGAGGGUCAAAAUUAAGUAUUUUCCCAGACAUGUUGCUGUCAGAAGUACUAAACAGAAGCACCCGCACAUUUGUUUGUGGCAUUUAUUAUUUCAAAGUCCAAUAUAUACAUAAUGUAUAUCCAUGUAUUGGGGGGGCAUCAUUUAUACAGAAAUAUCUACAGAAUAUGAUUUAGUCAAGCCAUUAUUUUCUAUAUUUUUGUCAUAAUACACAUACAUACAAAUGGAAGAUUGGACAUAAUGAAAUUAUCAGCACUCAAAGUAGAUAAAUAAUAUAAUCAUUUCUGGAAAAAUAUGUUCAGCACCUGUAAUGAACUGAGAGAUCCACACAGAUAUGGCAUCGUUUUCCCUUCAAUUUGUUUUCGCUAGAGGAUAUGAAGUGUUUUCUAGCACCACCUACUGUUGUUUCAAAAUAUUAAACUACCUUGCUUUAAAAGGAUUAUGAAUAAAGUAACAUUCAUAGGGGCUUGUUUACUCUAAAAUUAUAUUAUGAACAGAAAGAACACUCCCACCCCUCUAUUCUUCAGGAACAAGAUGCACUUUUAAAGUAGAACACGUCUGCUGUCUUAGAAAACAGGUGGUUUUGGUCCUCAUUACUAAGCCUUAGUACUAUUUGCAAAUGAUUAACUUGAAGGAAAUAAGUUGCAAACAAAUUAAUCAUCAAUAAGAGCAGAGUAUUUUUUAUUUUAUUUUUUUGCUAAGGAUGGCAGUCAAUAGUAACUGGAGGGGAGCUACUAACCUCAGUGGGAACAUCAAGUGAUUGCUUGCAUGUAUGACUGAGCUGCCACAAAUGUUAAUUCCAAGUUAGAACCAUCACCCAACAUCACCUGAAAUACGACACUCUUCAAUGCAGUCAAGUGAUGUACAUACUUGGAUAUACCAUCUAAUUUGCGCACUCUUUUAAAAUUCCAUGAACAUUGUCUACGUGCAUAUACAAGUCAGUGUUCUAGGUCUGUCAGCAUUCCCUCUUGCAUGACAGAUGUCCUCAGAUGACAGUAACCCUGCCUCUAAGUAUGCAUAUUUUCUAUUACAAAAAUAUCUGAUUUACCACUUUCAUGUACAUGCAGACAGCCGCCAAGAGGAAUUACUGUCAUUUUUCUAAACAAAGAAUAAUGUGGGUUGCCUCACAGAUAGAUGUCAACUUGUUAACAACCAACACUGUGAUUUUGACACUGGGUAAAGGUUGUUGCUCUUCAGGAAAUGGAAUUGAAAACUUGCUGGGGCAUACUAAGAUUUUGAACCCAAAUCUGUGAGUAACCUCCUCAUUUAGAACAGAUAUUGGGACUGGCUGCCAAGCUGACCUGUGUCUAAAAACCACGUAGCACUUGAAUUUAAAAGCCUAGAAAGAGAAGAAUAAGAUACGAAACCCAAGUCAUUCUGUUAACAGAAGAUGGAAUCUUAAAUUCUGAUGGAAGGAACAGCUUUGUCCUUUCAAGAAUGCUGCCGAUAUCUUUGUCUCAAAAUGAAGAGAGCUCGUUCUUUUAUCUCUAACACUUUCUGUGAAUUGUGCCAUGGUCAUUUCAGACUCUGCUUUUUAAGAGGCUCCUAUGAGGCUAGAAAGAUUGGACAACCGACUUAGCAUCUCAGUCCUGGUUAUGGCCCAUCUGCGCUCUUCAUGUAUCAUGCCACUUAACAGUCAUGGCUUCCCCCAAAUAAUUCGGUGACCUGAAGUUUGUUAAGGGUGCUGAGAGUUGUUAUGAGUCUCCUAUUUUUCUCCCAGGGUUACAACUGCCGGAGCUCCCUGGAAGGAGGGACUGAUUGUUAAACUACUCUGAGAAUGAGCUCUGUGAGAACAGGGAUUUCUUUACAACUUUUGAGCACCCUUAAAAAACCUAGUGUUUCCAUGAGUCUUAAGGGGGUAAAUCAUGAUGGUUCAAAGUGGCAUGAUGAUGAUGCUUUAAAGGUAUGGUGCAGAAGGGGGGGUCUGUCUAUAAAGCUUCAUGGGGUUCAAGGGGAGGUUAAUCCCAGAAAAGUGCAAAGGUCUGCAGCCAAAGGACUGGGUUACUCUUAAAUAUACUUUCUUUCUUGAACAGGCUUUGAAAAGGAAGAAAAGUAAUGUGCAGUUUAUUUGGAACAUCAGAAAUGCAUUAGAUAGUGGUAACAUCACUUUAUUUUUUCUAAUUUCUUUAUUUUCAUAUUGAAGCAAUUUCCUAUAUAUAUUUUCCCUGUUCAUAGCAUGCACUAAUCCUUGUAUUACCAUUGUCUGACGAAAACUCCCUUAUUUAAUUAGUUUAAAUUAUCAGGAAUUAAAGACCAAUUAAGACGUCAUGUUGCGUACUGGGGACAUACAAUGCUGCAAAACAUGUGCCAUUCCUAGAGCAAGUUUUCUCCAGAUACUGCUUGAUAAUAUUUCAUGCAUAUGAAGACUCAGGCCCAUGAAAGCUUCUAUGCCAUAACAAAUUUGUUAGCCUUUAAGGCGCUACAAAACUCUGUUGUUUUUUUUAUUACUAACCCCUUCUAUAAAUGGCUGAAUCACCAUUAUUAUCAUUUGGACGGUUUGCUGCAGGUAGCCCUGAAGAGGUCUCUAAUUAAGCCUUCUGAAUAUUCAAAAAAAAGGUGGCCUAAUAUGCUGACCUAAAUACCUCUGAUGGUAAAAGAAUAGCAUUAAGUAUGCCUGCUUCCUCUGGGUGGUCUAAGCUACUUCUACUGCACAGAAAAGUACGGUAGGUAAGCAGAAAACUAUGGCAGUGGUAAAGUAAACUCAAUAUUGAUAGAGUCGUGCAUACUCCACAAUUCAGUGCAAACACAAAGUACAGUGCUGGCCAUGAAGAUGCUCUGGUCAUGGUAAUAAUGAUUGGCUUGCCCAUAUAAAAUAGCAAAUUCAACUGUCUGUGACAAAGAUUUGGAUCAGGAGGAAGAGGUGGUUAACUGUUUUAGGGGUGGGGACUGCAACCCAGGAAGAUAAAAUCUUAUUUUUUAAAGAAUGUGUUUGUGGGAGGGGGGUUUUGUUUGUUUUUUUGGGUUAUGUCUUUUGUGUUUUUAUGUUGUGAACUGCCCUGAGAUAUUUGAAUGAAGGGCAGUAUAACAUUUAUUAUUAUUUUUUAUUUCCUUCUCAUGCUAACCCUUUGCUCCCACAGCACUGCUAUUUCUCACCUGAAUCUUCCCUGGCUACUUUUGUCAAUUACAGAUCUCCCCUCAUCUUGUCAAGUUGCCCUCACAGCAUUUGCAAAUUGCAUCUAUGAAAGAAUGGCAAAGAUACAAUCAAAUUAAAUUGCUCUCCAAUAAUUCUACCUUCAAAGUGAUCUUAAAAUGCAAAGGGCUGAUUCAAAUUGGUAGUCUGUCUGAACACUUCCUUUAGAAAAUACCUUGAGACAUACUCUAACAAUUUGGGGUGUGCAGUCUCCCGGUUGUACAAAGUACAGAAGUUGUUCAUGCAGCAGUUACUAUCCUGUUUGUUGGCAUAUUCUGCACAGAGCACUCGCUCAAUACAAAAAGCUGUUUUUCAUUUUGCAUGCCAAUGAAAACAGAUGGCUUUGUGGCAAACCUCUUAAGUGUUGUAGCCAUCUAUGUUUUACUCAGUGUAGUCCCACUGCAAUUAAUGGUGCAAAGUCAUCCAUUAAUUUCAAUGGGUCUGCUCUGAAUAUAGCUCACACUUGAUACAGCACCAAAUAUCCAGUUCUGCUUGUGCCAUCUACCAUCACACAAUUGGUUUACCACAAGCUGGGAGUUGCUGUCCAGGCAUAUCACACACACUCGAGUUUAUUGAUAUCCUCCAUUCAGAAAAGAAUAAGCAAUCAGGCCUAUUAAAAGGCUUAUCAAAAUAAUGGCUUCCACCACAUCACCCUUCUCUGAGCUCUUUUUUCAUCUUAAUAGUCUAAGUCAAACUCUGUCCUGGACCAAUUCACACAGGUGAAAGGGAAGUUCUUCCCUUCCAAAACAUCUGUGUUCCUCAUAAAAGGAGAAAAGGAGGUUCACCCCGGGCUGGAUGUAUUUUAAACAAGACUCAGUGCAAUUGCACAUAUACAACUUUUCAAGCAUAUAUAGUAGAUAGGCUAAAUUUGUGGUGCGCAGUGAUGCACUAUUCUGAAAAUAAAUACACUUCUGCCAUUAAAAACCCCAAGAAAUUCUGGGCUGGUUGGUUGGUUGGUUUUGUGUGCAAACACUCCUUAAUUCCUGAUCCUUAAAAACAAGUAAUUGGUGACUAACAAUGACCCCCUUGAAGGAAAAACUGCAGACUUGUACAGUUUCAGUUACUCCAGUUCUAAUUUAUACACAAUGAAGUAACACUAAACAGGGGAAAGUGUCUAAUUUUGUAUGUAGAAGACUGAGGACAGUUCUUUCUCCCCAGCAUCAUAAAGGUUCCAUUUGGAAGGCAAACAUGUUUUGCUAAUGUGAUGUUGCUACUGUACAUAAGUAUGAAAUGCAUGGCUUUUUAAAAAAUACAAACUCUAGCAGUAUAUACAUAUUUGUACAAAUACAUUUGUUUAGGGUUCCUUUUUGUUUUUAAAGAGCAGUUCUCUCAAAGUGAGACUCAAUCCACAAACGUGAGAAGAGGAAUGGAGCCUCCACAUGCAACUAUGUAAGAAGUUCAAGUUGAGAUUUGUAUUUCAAACAAACAAAUUAAAAGAAACGUUGCAACUUGAAAUAGAGGCUGCCUUCCUCUCAAGCCUCCACCCUUGGGUGGGGAAGGGGGGGACUGAAGGAAGAAAGUUAAUUAAACUUGAAUGGCAUAUGUCAAUUUCUUUUCAUUACCCUUAAUUUUUGAUGCAGUGUAGCUUUUCAAAGCUGCUAUAUUCUAAUAAGGCAAAACAAAGCAAUGACCUAGUUGGAAUAAUGCAUUUACCGUACACCAAUGACUUCCUGAAAGGGCAAGGCAAGCAUCUGCUUCAUCUUCCUCCUAUCAGAACAAGCUCAAGCCUGAACAUGCACUGCCCUCUUCUCAAAAAGGAACGUGAAAAACCACAUAUUAUCACUUCAAGGUUUAAAGCAUAAGAAACCAGAGCCUCCCUUUUAUUGCUCUGCUCCCUGGAAACGCAUGCUAGCGCUCGUCAAAGCAAGAGAAAGAGAAAAGCCUGAAGUUCCCACCAGCUUCUUCUCUUCCCAAAACAGCCUCGAUAACUUAAUUUUACUUGUUGCUCUUGAGCUUUUACUAAGUACAUGCUAUCCACCAGCAAGACUACUCAAGUGCUCAGUUUUUUCCAAUGCUUUGCAAUUGGUAUUUUAGGAAUCGCAUAGCUCACAUACAUAUUUUUGGCAGAGAUGCAGCUGUUCAUUGUCUCCUGGUGGUGCCUAUCAUUUCAGCAACCAAUAGUGGGUAGCUUUUUCUGUUCAUUCUGUGCCAGGCUUGUGGCCCUCCAGAUUGCAGGGCAGAUCCCAUUGCCCCCGACCACGCUGACUAGAACGGAUGGAAGUUAAGAGUCCAACAAGACAUGGAGGGUCACAAGCUGUCACUCACCAUUCUUAAGAAAGCUUGUAUGUAGUCAUUUCUUGUAGCAGACUACCAUAGUUUUGUAGUGUAUAGACAACUUAAGUUCCCUAGUAAAUACCUCUUUUCCUUCUUCCACCCACGUAGAAGUAUGGCCUUGCCAGUACAUGGGCAGAUAUGAGACAGGCGAUAAAGUAGCAAGAGUAUAUGUUUAUGCCACAGCACACACAUGCAACUGCUAUUUCCAUUUAAAUUUACAAAGCCUUGCAAGGGUUCAAAUAAUAAAUAGCUCUGUAUUUUAUUAGCAAUCUCUGUAGGUGAAAUCCUGGUUUCAACAGCUCACAUCAAUUAGCUGCAGAAGUUUCUCUUUCAAUUAUUCUCUUUAAUUAAAAAAUAAUAAUAAUCCAAUUCAUAUCCAAGAAGUCAGCAGGGAUUUUUAAAAAAUUCUCUCGUCUCCAAUUGAUAAAAUAUGCAGUGCCAUGUCCUUAGAGAACAGUCUACUAUGAAAGUCUUUUCCAAUGCAUGUUAUAAAUAAAAUCAACCAAUUUAAAUAAAUCCAAGAGAGGAAGUGCAUGUGUGUGAGUGUUUGGUUUUCCCCAAACAUAUAUCCUCUAGAGGGCAAUAAGUUUAAUAUGUCCAAUGGACAACCCUCUCCAUCACUACCCACCCCCAAGAACUGCAAAACCCAAGAGUCUUUCCUUCCACCAAGCUUCUUCAUUAACAGGGUACUGUAGUUGCACAAAGCAGAAUUAUUAUUUUUUUCUCUCUCUCUAAAUAUAAGUGCAUAAAAUGGUGCAUGUUGAUAUCUUGUUUCAGUGAAAAGCAAUAUGGAUGCACACAGCGUUCAGAAAAG
rnacentral:lncRNA from 1 species